rnacentral:rRNA from 1 species
ACGAACGCUGGCGGCGCGCCUAACACAUGCAAGUCGAACGAGAAAGACUUAAGUUUACUUGAAUCUUUCUAGUGGCGGACGGGUGAGUAACACGUGAAGAACCUGCCUUACAGAGGGGGACAACAGCUGGAAACGGCUGCUAAUACCGCAUAAUACCAGUUGAGGGCAUCCUUGAUUGGUCAAAGGAGCAAUCCGCUGUAAGAUGGCUUCGCGUCCGAUUAGACAGUUGGCGGGGUAACGGCCCACCAAAUCUACGAUCGGUAGCCGGACUGAGAGGUUGAACGGCCACAUUGGGACUGAGACACGGCCCAGACUCCUACGGGAGGCAGCAGUGGGGGAUAUUGCACAAUGGAGGAAACUCUGAUGCAGCGACGCCGCGUGAGGGAAGAAGGUUUUCGGAUUGUAAACCUCUGUCUUCGGUGACGAGAAUGACGGUAGCCGAGGAGGAAGCCACGGCUAACUACGUGCCAGCAGCCGCGGUAAUACGUAGGUGGCAAGCGUUGUCCGGAAUUACUGGGUGUAAAGGGAGCGUAGGCGGGGAGGCAAGUCGAUUGUCUAAACUAUGGGCUUAACUCAUAGUCGCGAUCGAAACUGCUUUUCUUGAGUGAAGUAGAGGUAAGCGGAAUUCCUAGUGUAGCGGUGAAAUGCGUAAAUAUUAGGAGGAACACCAGUGGCGAAGGCGGCUUACUGGGCUUUAACUGACGCUGAGGCUCGAAAGCGUGGGUAGCAAACAGGAUUAGAUACCCUGGUAGUCCACGCCGUAAACGAUGAUUACUAGGUGUGGGGGGGCUGACCCCUUCCGUGCCGGAGUUAACACAAUAAGUAAUCCACCUGGGGAGUACGACCGCAAGGUUGAAACUCAAAGGAAUUGACGGGGGCCCGCACAAGCAGUGGAGUAUGUGGUUUAAUUCGAAGCAACGCGAAGAACCUUACCAGGGCUUGACAUAUAGGUGAAGCGGUGGAAACACCGUGGCCGAAAGGAGCCUAUACAGGUGGUGCAUGGCUGUCGUCAGCUCGUGUCGUGAGAUGUUGGGUUAAGUCCCGCAACGAGCGCAACCCUUGUAUACAGUUACCAGUAUUAAGUUAGGGACUCUGUAUAGACUGCCGUGGAUAACACGGAGGAAGGUGGGGACGACGUCAAAUCAUCAUGCCCCUUAUGACCUGGGCUACACACGUACUACAAUGGCCGUCAACAGAGGGCAGCGACACCGCGAGGUGAAGCGAAUCUCCAAAAGCGGUCUCAGUUCAGAUUGUAGGCUGCAACCCGCCUGCAUGAAGAUGGAAUUGCUAGUAAUCGCGGAUCAGAAUGCCGCGGUGAAUACGUUCCCGGGCCUUGUACACACCGCCCGUCACACCAUGAGAGUUGGCAACACCCGAAGUCGGUAGGCUAACGCAAGGAGCCGCCGCCGAAGGUGGGGUCGAUGAUUGGGGUG